GGCUUUGUGCAGUGUCAGUAUCAUAGCCAAUGAGGUUUAUCUGAGGGGCGAUUAUUGCUAAUUGAAAACUUUUCCCAAUACCCCAUCAUGACAACUUGAAAUAUAGUCGGCAUUGGCAAUUUUUGACAAUCUCUAUGGAAA
rnacentral:snRNA from 1 species